CCUACGGGUGGCAGCAGUGAGGAAUAUUGGUCAAUGGACGAGAGUCUGAACCAGCCAAGUAGCGUGAAGGAUGACUGCCCGAUGGGUUGUAAACUUCUUUUAUAGGGGAAUAAAAUGUUCCACGUGUGGGAUUUUGUAUGUACCAUAUGAAUAAGGAUCGGCUAACUCCGUGCCAGCAGCCGCGGUAAUACGGAGGAUCCGAGCGUUAUCCGGCUUUAUUGGGUUUAAAGGGAGCGUAGUUGGGUUGUUAAGUCAGUUGUGAAAGUUUGCGGCUCAACCGUAAAAUUGCCGUUGAAACUGGCAGUCUUGAGUACAGUAGAGGUGGGCGGAAUUCGUGGUGUCGCGGUGAAAUGCUUAGAUAUCACGAAGAACUCCGAUUGCGAAGGCAGUUCACUGGACUGCAACUGACACUGAGGCUCGAAAGUGUGGGUAUCAAACAGGAUUAGAUACCCUUGUAGUC
rnacentral:rRNA from 1 species